GGGGUUUGCUUGUGCGAGAAAUCGCCGCCAUCGAAGACCGAUCUGUGCGGCGCAGAGCACGCAGCAGCUGUCAGUGGUGGCUUUCUCUGUUUUUUUUUCUUCGGCAGAGCACUAACUCUGCACUGUGCCCUUCCUCCCUACCGCACGGGUAGGCGAGAAUAUUCUCCGAAAAGGGGUGUGAGAGCGAGCGGCGAAGGGGACGUCGAUGCAGAUGCAGCGCUCGAUGUAUGCCCGUAUGUGCCAUACGGCCUCCGUGAACAUCUCGGCGUCGUUUUCGUCCCCUCCCUGCGCUUCAGCGUCGGCACUCUUCGUGACAGCGCGCCAUUUUGUCCAGGGUGGGCCGCCGGUGCCCAAGAAAGAUAUCGACAAGAAGCGCAAGCGCUACCUGAUUAGCCCGCACACAGAGGAGAUGGAGGCCAAGUACCAAAGUCGCCAACGCGAGUUGCACGAGUACUUUGCGACGCAUGAGCCAAACUGCCCGGAGCCGCUGCCAGAAAACAGCUUCGUCAAGGGACAGUUUGGUAUGCGGAGGCGUUACUACGUUGACCACCGUGGAAAGAUUGACCCGCACGCGCUUGGAAACGCCGUGGACGAGGGCACGAAUGCCAUGCGCAAGUGAGUCACGUGCCAGCUGUUUUGCUGCUGGUUCUCUUGACCUUCUUUGUCCUGCUUUUAUGCAUACCUGUGCGUGCGUGUAUCCUUUUCAGUUUUGGUUUUCCCCGUGUAUUUGGCGGCGUCUCUCUGUCUCUGCUGUUGAGGUGCUAGCCGCUUUAUUCUCGUAGGCGUGGCGUUUCUCUUGCAGAUGCACAACUUCGGAACGCACUUCCGCUCGUGCGAAAAGGAGAGGCUGAAGCUCUCACCCUUUCCUUCUUCCAUGGGAUAAACAGUGCCUCGCUUCCACAGCAGCAGC
rnacentral:misc_RNA from 1 species